UGCAUAUCAAUAAGCGGAGGAAAAGAAACCAACAGGGAUUGCCUUAGUAGCGGCGAGUGAAGCGGCAAAAGCUCAAAUUUGAAAUCUGGCUCUUUCAGAGUCCGAGUUGUAAUUUGAAGAAGGUAUCUUUGGGUCUGGCUCUUGUCUAUGUUUCUUGGAACAGAACGUCACAGAGGGUGAGAAUCCCGUGCGAUGAGAUGAUCCAGGCCUAUGUAAAGUUCCUUCGAAGAGUCGAGUUGUUUGGGAAUGCAGCUCUAAGUGGGUGGUAAAUUCCAUCUAAAGCUAAAUAUUGGCGAGAGACCGAUAGCGAACAAGUACAGUGAUGGAAAGAUGAAAAGAACUUUGAAAAGAGAGUGAAAAAGUACGUGAAAUUGUUGAAAGGGAAGGGCUUGAGAUCAGACUUGGUAUUUUGUAUGUUACUUCUUCGGGGGUGGCCUCUACAGUUUAUCGGGCCAGCAUCAGUUUGGGCGGUAGGAGAAUUGCGUUGGAAUGUGGCACGGCUUCGGUUGUGUGUUAUAGCCUUCGUCGAUACUGCCAGCCUAGACUGAGGACUGCGGUUUAUACCUAGGAUGUUGGCAUAAUGAUCUUAAGUCGCCCGUCUUGAAACACGGACCA
rnacentral:rRNA from 1 species